GUCUAUGAACCGGGCAGAUCGGGGAAGGCUGGGUGGCACAGCCCCACGGAGAACAUCCAGGGGUAGAACAAAUCAGGUAUCCCCUGCCUUGGGAGUCUGAAUGGGAAGGGAGUGCUGGUCUUUGGUGGGGGUCCCUGACCACUGUUGAGGAGUCCUCUCCCCAGGAGAUACCUGGUGCUCUUCCCCUACGUGAUCUACUACCCACACGGGGGCAAGGUGCACAUCCACCUCAUGGACCUGGAUGGGCCCGUGCGGGUCACCCUCCACCUGGCGAGCAGCCAUGGCAUCCCUAAUGUCACCCUGGAGGAGACGGGCAACAAGAUCCUCCAGCUGGACUGGCCCCUCUUCCCCAACGGAGGUUCCCUGAGGGUCUCCCAGCAGAGGAUGGUUCUGCUGAAAGCCCCAGGUCUGUGGACUGCGAUACAGACAGACAAAACUACCUACAAGCCUGGGCAAACUGGUGAGGGGCAGGAGAUGCUGGAAGAGCUCAUGGGCUCUGGGGAUGGGAUGCCCAGGCUGGGUCCCAGGCUCUAGCACUCACUCCUGCUCUGGGGUUUGCUCUUUCCAGUGAAGUUUCGAAUUCUCCAUUUGGAGGAGGACUUCAGUCCCAGUGACAGAAAGGUGAGAUGGGGUCAGGGUGCAGGAGGUGUGGUGGUGACAGGGUC
rnacentral:lncRNA from 1 species